AGUCACUGACAUUAGAUACCCGCGUAGUCCAGGGUGUAAACGCUGCAGACUUGGUGUUGGGAACCCUUCGGGGGUGCUCAGUGCCGGAGAGAAGUUGUUAAGUCUGCUACUUGGGGAGUACGUCCGCAAGGAUGAAACUUAAAGGAAUUGGCGGGGGAGCACCGCAACGGGAGGAGCGUGCGGUUUAAUUGGAUUCAACGCCGAAAAACUCACCAGCAGCGACUGUUACAUGAAAGUCAGGUUGAUGACCUUACUAGAUUUUCAG
rnacentral:rRNA from 1 species